rnacentral:rRNA from 1 species
CCUACGGGAGGCAGCAGUGGGGAAUAUUGGACAAUGGGCGCAAGCCUGAUCCAGCCAUGCCGCGUGAGUGAUGAAGGCCCUAGGGUUGUAAAGCUCUUUUGUGCGGGAAGAUAAUGACGGUACCGCAAGAAUAAGCCCCGGCUAACUUCGUGCCAGCAGCCGCGGUAAUACGAAGGGGGCUAGCGUUGCUCGGAAUCACUGGGCGUAAAGGGUGCGUAGGCGGGUCUUUAAGUCAGGGGUGAAAUCCUGGAGCUCAACUCCAGAACUGCCUUUGAUACUGAGGAUCUUGAGUUCGGGAGAGGUGAGUGGAACUGCGAGUGUAGAGGUGAAAUUUGUAGAUAUUCGCAAGAACACCAGUGGCGAAGGCGGCUCACUGGCCCGAUACUGACGCUGAGGCACGAAAGCGUGGGGAGCAAACAGGAUUAGAUACCCUGGUAG